AAGGAAGGGAGGGAGGGAGGGAGGGAGGGAGGGAGGGAGGGAGGGAGGGAGGAAUGAAUUUGAAAAAAGAAAUAUAACAGAGGCAGUAAGUUGUUGAAGAAGUCUUGCUAAUAUAUAUUUCUUAGUAAUGACUAGAACCUGGGCCAUGCGUGCAAUUGACUAGCUUCCCACUGUAAAUGUCGGGCAGGUACAGAUGGGGCUUCUAAGAGAUGAGGGUAGAAGUUUGGGGGUUUGGCAUUCAGACCUGAAGUUCUUUAAGGGAGAAUCUGUUCAUCUCUUAGAAGGUCUGAAGUCUGGAGGUAAAGAUUCCCAAUGUCCAGGGAAACAACCUUAGGCAUCCAAUACCCUUCCUAUCUGCUAAUCCAAGUCAGGAAAUGAUCUGUGACUAGUAUGUGGAAAAGUAGAACAGGAAUCGCUUAUUUUGUGGACAUGUAAAUUUAGGCUAUUUCUAUUCAUAGGGUUGUAUUUUGUCCUCAUUCUCUUGUCAUAGGCAGGUACAUCCUUGCAUGCUAAGCUUUAUGCUGUCAGAACUGCAGACGACUGAUACUCUUCUCCCCUUCUCUUCAGAUUCCAUCCAGAUGCCCUUGUGCAGAGUUCAGACAAAUCUAUGAUAGCAGGGCAUAGUGUAAACAGCAUAAGCUUUGAGGUCAGAAAGACCUAAACUAAAUGCCAGCUUUGAAAGCCACUUAGAAGCCCUGUGGCCCUAAACAUAACAGCUACACUUACAUAGCACUUAAAACAGCCAGGAACUAUUCUAUGUGCCCUACACAUAUUAACUUACGUAAUUGUCACCACCAACUCAUGAGGUUGUGUACUAUUAGUAUCCCUGUUUUAUAGAUGGGGAUGUUUAGGAAUGGAAAGAUCAAGUAACUUGCAUCUAGGUAAGCUGCAGAACUGAGAUGUGAAUUUACACAGUCUGGCUCCAAAGUCAGUGUCUAAGCCAUGCACAGUGGCUCAUGCUUAUAAUUCCAGUACUUCGGAAGACCAAGGUGGGAGGAUCUCUUGAGGCCAGCAAUUCCAGGCUGCAGUGAGCCAUGAUCACACCACUGAUCCAGCCUGGGCAACAGAACAAGACCCUAUCUCAAAAAAAAAAGUCAGUGUCUUUAACCACUAAGGAAAGUUUCAUUACCUCCGUUCAGUUCCUCAACAACUGUUUUCUUGAGUGCCUACUCUGUAUCCAGCACUGCACAAGAUGCUGCCGAUGCAGCCAAGGACAUGGUCCUGACCCUCCAGGCACUGACGGUCUAGUGAGAGAGACAUCACAAUACACCAUGCUAGGUUGCAGGCCUGCUAUGGAAUCCAGAGAAAGGGCAGUCAAGAAAGGCUCACUGCUGGGCACAGUGGCUCACACCUGUAAUCCUAGCACUUUGGGAGGCUGAAGCAGGAGGAUCAAUUGAGCACAACAGUUCAAGACCAGUCUGGGCAAUACAGUGAGAUCCCAUCUGUAAAGAAAAAACUAUUUUUUAAUUUUAUAAAAAAGAAAGGCUCGGAGGAUGUGACCUCUGAGUCUCAUGGGGCCAGUGAAAGGUAGACCUUGGGGGCCACAGGCAGGAUAAAAGAGUAGGACAGGUUGCUCCAGGUAGAGAAAAUAGUGAAUGCAAAGAUAAUUGUGUGGUGGUUCAUGUGUAGAACAGAGGCAGCUCAGUGAGGCUAGAACAGAGCAUGGCAAUGGAACAGCUACAUGGGAUGAGGUUGGACUGCCAAGCAAAGUCAUAUUUCCAAGGGUCUUUCUCCCACACUAAAUUUGAAGUUGAACUUGAAAAAAAAAGAUGACAUUUUAGAAAACAUAGUGAAUGCACUGGAAAAUAUAAAACUGAAGGUAAAUAGUCCAUUUUACACAAAGAUGUGAGAGUUUGCAUUAAGCAGGAUAACAGGGAUAGAGAAAGGUCAGAGUCAACGGUAUUCAAAAGCUUGAAUAUAUAGAACCAGGGCUGGCUGCAUGUAAAGCAAAGGAAGAGAGAGGGAUCAAACAUGACUCGCUGGUUCUCAGUAAGAAGGAAGUAGCCCCAUUCAAUCCGCUAAGCGAUACAAGAGGCACAGCCCCAGAUCCUUAAACCUUUUUGAAUGGCUAAUCUGACACAAUUUUCAGCAUCAUUAUUAUAACUGAGAGGAAAUGAUGCUGGUAGGCGUGCCCAAAAGCCUCUCUUCUGAGCAGUCAUGAUGCACACAGCUGGCCCUGCCCUACCCUGAGCCCCCAGGCAGCCUUAAUGAGCAGCUGGGAGUUACCUGCAGAGGCCCAGACCCCACCUGCUGGUGUAAUGGACCUUUCCUUGCAGGAAGGGCUAUAGGUGGGAGCUGAAGAGCAGGAGGGGAUAUGAAAAGUGGCAGAUGGCACUAGGACACCAUCUGAUUUCCUAGUGCACUCAUCAAGCUCACUAAGGCAAGGAAGUGCAAGACUAUUCUGCCUUACACGGUGAGAAGCACAGCUCAGUCAGCACAUUAAAACCAGCAGCAAGGCCGGGCCCAGUGACUCACACCUGAAAUCCCAGCACUUUGGGAGGCCAAGGCGGGCAGAUCACCUGAAAUCAGGAGUUCAAGACCUGCCUGGCCAACAUGGUGAAACCCCGUCUCUACUAAAAAUACAAAAAUUAGCCAGGUAUUAGCCAAGCAUGGUGGCAGGCGCCUGUAGUCCCAGCUACUCAGGAGGCUGAGGCAGGAGAAUAGCUUGAACCCGGUAGGUGGAGGUUGCAGUGAGCCCAGAUCCUGCCACUGCACUCCAGCUUGCACAACAGGGCAAGACUCCCCGUCCCAAAAAAAAACAGUCACAGAGCCAAACCCACCCACUCAUGGAGCACACACUGACACAGUCAGGGACGUGCAAGUAAAAGGAGUGUCCUCUUACUUCAGUUUCUGGGGAUCCAGAACUAGAACUUGGGCAGUAGUUCUCAACCGGUGAGUCACAGAGGUUGGCAGGAAAACAGAUCAGAGCACAAAGGUGACCCUUUACUAGCACUCUACAGCAAUGCAGUCCAGUAGAGAAUAUAGAAAUAAACAGAACGCGAGCCCCCAUGUUAUGUAAAAUUUUUAGUAGUUGUGUCCAAAAGAGCAAAGAGAAACAGGGGAAAUUAACUUUCAUACAUUUUCCUUGAACCCUAAAUAUACAAAAUAUUCUUUCAAAGUGUAAUCAAUGUAAAAAUUAUUAACAAGACUUCUACACUCUUUUGAGUGUGCUGAGUCUUUGAAAUCUGGUGGGUGUUUGACAUUUACUGUGCAUUUCAAUUCUAGUUAGCCACAUUUCAGUUGCUCCAUUGCCCCAUGAAGUGGCUGAUACAGCACUAGAGCCUUUAAGUCUGAGAAGCCGGGACAGCAGGAAAGUCAGGCCCCUGACACACAAUCAGCCAGUGAAAUGAGGACAAAACCCAUACAAUCCGAGGAAUGGGGUCGAAAGGGAUCCACCGGCUGGUACCUGAGGUCCAUAUGCAAUCAGCCCGUAAAUCUGCAAGGCAGAGGAUAUCCCCCGCACUUCAAAAAAACUGUCUACUGCUUUAUAUGACUUCUUUUCUGUCACAAUUCUCAUCUUCAUGUCCAUUUAACCUCAGUUUACCAAAAAUCAUCAUUAUCCCCAAAUAUUUAUUUAUUUAUUUAUUUUUGAGGCGGAGUUUCGCUCGUUACCCAGGCUGGAGUGCAAUGGCCCUAUCUUGGCUCACCGCAACCUCUGCCUCCAGGGUUCAGGCAAUUCUCCUGCCUCAGCCUCCUGAGUAGCUGGGAUUACAGGCACACGCCACCAUGCCCAGCUAAUUUUUUGUAUCUUUAGUAGAGACGGGGUUUCACCAUGUUGACCAGGAUGGUCUCCAUCUCUUGACCUCGUGACCCACCCGCCUCGGCCUCCCAAAGUGCUGGGAUUACAGGCGUGAGCCACCGUGCCCGGCCAAAUAUUUAUUGAGAGUACAGUAUGGCGGAACUAUGUUAGAUAUUGGAUCCAGUAAUGUCCUAUGCAUCUACAAUGUAUUGCAGAUUACAAAGCCCUCAACACAAACCAAAGAAGUGGGUGUAUCAACUACCUAUUACCAUGUAACAGAUGGCUACAAAUUUAGCAGCUUAAAACACCACACGCUUAUUAUUUCAUCAUCUCUGUGGGUUAGGAGUCCAGCUAUGGUUUAGCAGGAUCCUCUGCUUAGACUCUCACAAGGCUGCUGGGUGCAGUGGUUCAUGCCUGUAAUCCUAGCACUUUGGGAGGCUGAGACAGAUGAAUCACUUGAGGCCAGGAGUUUGAGACCAGCCUGGCCAACAUGGUGAAACCUGGUCUUUACUGAAAAUACAAAAAUUAGCCAGGCACGGUGGCAGGUGCCUGUAUUCCCAGCUACUCAGGAGGCUGAGGCAGGAGGAACACUUGGACCUGGGAGGUAGGGGUUGCAGUGAGCUGAGAUCACACCACUGCACUCCAGCCUGGACAACAGAGUGAGACUCUGUCUCAAAAACAAAAAAGAAUCUCAAUCUCACAAGACUGUAUCAAGGUGUUAGCAAAGCCUGGGUUCUCAUCUGGAGGCUCAGCUGCGGAAGGAUGUGCUUCCACACCCACAUGAAUGUUAGCAGUGUUGAGUUCUUUUUGGUUGUAGAACAGAGGGUCAGUCCUCUGCUGGAUAUUGAUCAGAGGCCACCCUUAGGUCACUGUCUCGUGGGUGGUUCUCUCUCCAUAGGUGGUUCACAUGAUAGCUAACUUCUUCAAGGUUGGCAGUACAUCUACUUCCAGUCUGCUGCAAGGUUGUUUUAGACAAUUUAACAUAAUCAUGGAAUUGACAACCCAUCAUCUUGGCCAUAUUCUGUUGUUUGAAAGCAAGUCACAGGUCUACCCAUCCUCAAGGGCCUGUGAUUACCCAAAGGCACAAACAUCAGGAGUUGGGGAUCAUGGGAGCCACCUUAGGGUAUGUUCACCACAGUGGUAUUAUCCUAAUAAAUAACAUAGGUAAGCAGCGAGGGAGUGAGGGUCAGGGACAAUGAUUGGCAACAGUCACUCAGCUUGUAGGGGAAAAAUUCAUGACUAAGGUCCAUGGGUGCUGAUUCCAUGGCCAGUGUCCCAUGGAACACAGAGUGACAGUGAAACGUGGCUCCUGCCCUCAGGCAACUGGCUAAAUAAUUGGGGGUGGGGGCUGGAAAUAAGCUCACCCAGAACUCUGCAGUAUCCCCACAUAGGUGAGGGGUUUGGCCCAGUGAAUAAGUUGUCAGGAGCUUCCAUUGCCUUCUUGAAGUGCCCCUUCCUGGACCUAGGCAGGAACAUCAGAGAUGAGACAUGGGACUUUGGCCUGACAAGAAGAAAUCAUGGGCUCCCGUCUAGGAAUAGGACUGCCUGUUUUAAGAGAUUCCAUGAAGACAAGAACCUUCUCCACAACUUUUCCUAGGAGAUGUUGCACUGUAACUCCUAAGUGCCCCUUCUCCCGCUUAGGGCUUGACUAUAGGAUGGUAAGAUCAAAGCCACCUACUAUAGGUUUCCCACCUUCUCUGUCAGGCACUGUAGAAACCCCCCUGAUCUUAGGCUCACAUUUCAACAGCUUCAACAACUUCCAUUUCAACGGCAAGCCCCUGGUGGUAUAUCUGAAAGCAAUACCUGGACAAAUGGAUCUCCUAAUGCCUCUGCUACCCCACUCCCAACAUGUAGGAUCAAGGUCAAAUUUGAAGAAUUUUGGCUAGAUCAGCCAGGGGCAGUGAUUUACACCUGUAAUCCCAGCACUUUGGAAGGCUGAGGCAGGAGAAUCGCUUGAACCCAACAGGCAGAGGUUGCAGUGAGCCGAGAUUGUGCCAUUGCACUCCAGUCUGGGCAACAAGAGUAAGACUCCAUCUCAAAAAAAAAAAAAAAAAUCACUAUGUUUUGGGGGCUGAGAUAUGUACACUGCAAGUGAUGAAUACAAGACAGUAUAAGCCAUUUCAUAAACAUCAUUAAAAAUAAUGAAUUAAUUAAGUUUAUACGGUGAAGUAAAAAGUUACUAUAUAACAGUAAACACCUUAGCAAUUCACAGAUAGAAGAGCCCAUUGUGAACUAGAAUCAGGUAAUUUGAUUUGGGCUUAGAAAGAGACCGAGCUUUAGAGCAGUGCUUCUCAGGUGGGGGCAAUGUUGUUUCCCAGGAAACAUUUGGCAAUAUCUGAAAACAUUUUUGAUUGUCACAACCGGAGGAAGGAGGAAGGGUUGUGUUAGUCUAUUUUGCAUUGCUAUACAGGAAUACCUGAGACUGGAAAGAAAAGAGGUUUAUUGGCUCACGGCUCUGCAGGCUGUACAUGAAGCGUAGAGCUGGGCAUCUGCUUCUAACGAGGGCCUCGGAAAGCUUGCCAUCAGACAGAUAGCAUCUAUUAUAUACUUCUCUACAUCCAUUUUAGAAUCUUAAAAGAAGGCAGAGGGAGAGCCCGCAUAUCACAUGACAAGAGAGGGAGCAAGAGGUGGAGGAUGCCAGGCUCCUUUAAACAACCCACUCUCACAUUAAUUAACAGAUGAUCAAGCACGCACUACCACAGGGAGGGCAGCAAGACACUCAUGAGGGAUCCACCCCAUCACCCAAACACCUCCCACUAGGCCCACCUCCAGCACUGGAGGUCAUAUUUCAACAUGAGAUUUGGGGAUGACAAAACAUCUAAGCCUUAUCAGGGGCUAUGGGUAGGUGCAACCAGCAUGUAGGGAGUAGAGGCCACUGUAGAGUGGAUGGUACUAUAUACAUUUCACAAUGCACAGAAUGCCCCUGCAGCAAGGAAUUACGUCCUUUACAGCCAGAAAGGUCAGUAGUGCUGAGGCUGAGGAGCCCUGGCCUAGAGUUGGCAGAGAGGAAGAGAGGAAAGCUUUGGGCAAAGGUUGUGUGUGGCACUGUGAGAGUCAGGGGGUAGAGGGGAGGUAUAAAACAGAGGCAAGUAGAAGAACAAUAGAAAUACCAGGCCACCACCCCACACUGUAAUCUGGAAGAAGAUUCCCUCCACCAAAUAACGAUAACUUAUCUUCUGACACUGAUCACCAGCAGCAACAAAUGUAAGAAUCCCUUUUGCAUUUCACCUUUUAUUCCUGUUCACCUUUUUUUUUUCUUUGAGACGAGGUCUCACUCUGUCACCCAGGCUGAAGUGCAGUGGUGUGAUCUCAGCUCACUGCAACCUCCACUUCCCGGGUUCGAGCGAUUCUCCUGCUUCAACCUCCCAGGUAGCUGGGACUACAGGUGCAUGCCACCACACCUAGCUAAUUUUUUUUUUCUUUGUAUUUUUAGAAGAGACACGGUUUCACCAUGCUAGCCAGGAUGGUCUCGAUCUCCUGAUCUCGUGAUCCGCCCUCCUCGACCUCCCAAAGUGCUGGGAUUACAUGCGUGAGCCACUGCGCCCGGCCUCCUGUUUACCUUUUAUCCCUACGUGAAACGGGAUCUAAUAACCCUUCAGGGAUUUCAUCAGACCCUGACAAAUUUAUCUUCCAUCCCUACUAUACAAUCAAAGAUAUUUUAGGUUUAGUUUUUCCCUCCUAAUAAUCCUAGUACUAUUUCACCUGACCUUCUGAGCGACCCAGAGCCAACCCCACUCAACACCUACACCACAGUAAGCCAGAGUGGUACUUUCUGUUUGCUUACACAAUCACAAUCCACCCCUAACAAACUAGGAGGCGUACUGGCCCUUGUAUUCUCCAUUCUCAUUCUAGCAGCUAUUCCUGUACUUCAGAUGUCUACACAACAAACUGUAAUAUUCUGACCAUGGAGUCAAUGCCUAUUCUGAAUCUUAAUGGCCCACCUAUUCACAUUCACAUAAAUUGGAGGACAGCCAGUCCAAUACCCUUUUAUCGCCAUGGGACAGACAGCAUCUAUUAUGUACUUCUCUACCAUCUAUUUUAGAAUCUUUAAAUGUUCCCACGAAAGCUUAGAGAUCCAACCCAAUUCCUUCAUAUUGCAGCUGUGGAAACUGAGCCUAAAGAGACAGAAUUGAUUGCUCAAGGCCAUACAGGUUUCUAAACAGCAGAACCGGCUGCAGAACCCAGGCCCCUAACUCACUGGCCCGUCCUAUUUCUUCUGUUAUAUUUUUAACAUCUAACAGCCCAAUAAACUUUUGAACAUUUCUUGUACAAACCUCUGAGCUACAGAAUAGUUUUCAACCCAAUAGGAACCUUUUUUCCUAUUGAGAAACUAUUCUGUAGGUCAGAGGUUUGUAAAGAUUUUCUGCAAAGGACCAGACGAUGUCAGUCACAAGAACGCAACACUGCUGCUGUGGUGUGAAAGCACCAUACACCAUACAUAAAUGAAUCAGUGUAGCUGUGUUCCAGUAGAACUUAUUUAGAGACACAGAAUUUAAAUUUUAUACAAUGGAUAUGUCAGAAAACAGUCUCUUUUCUUUCAAUUUUUUUCAACCAUUUAAAAAUGUUAGAAGAGUCUGGACACAGUGGCUCAUGCCUGUUUAAUAGAAGAACUUUGGGAAGUCGUGGCAGGUGGAUCACCUGGGGUCGGAGUUUGAGACCAAGCCUGGCCGAUAGGGUGAAACCCGGUCUCUACUAAAAAUAUAACAAAUUAGCCAGGCAUGGUGGUGCACGCCUGUAAUCCAGCUAUUCAGGAGGCUGAGACAGGAGAAUUGCUUGAUUGAGCCCAGGAGGCGGAGGUUGCAGGCGGAGGUUGCUUGAACCCAGGAGGUGGAGGAGCCGAGAUCGUGCCAUUACACUCCAGCCUGGGUGACAGAAUGAGACUUCAUGUCAAGUAAAUACAUCAAUAAAUUUUUUUAAAUGUUAGAACUAUUCUUAGCUCCAUGCCGUAGGAAAAGGUGGUGGGGCGGGCAGGAGGUGGGAACUGGGAGGAUGUUAGUAGGUUUGGACUCUGGGUCAAAAUAGCGGAUAAGCUGCCAUUAGAAAGUAGAUCUUGCAACCAGCAGGAAAAGAUUUUUAAAACCUCCAGAAAAGUGCAAUAAAUUGCAAACAAUACAUACAGUAAAUCCUGUCAUUGCUAAAUAUAAAAUAAAGUUUCGUAUUUCUCUAUGUACACACACGUACACAUAAGCACUAGAGAAAGAUCUAGAAGGAUCUUCAUAAAAUUCUUAACAGGAAUUACUUGGGGGAAGGGAGGAGGCAUGAUGGGAAUAGGUCAAGGAAGGCCUUUCAGUGUUUCAUGUGUUUUAUAAUGAGAAUGUAUUUAUGUCUUAGUCCUGCAACUUUUUAAAGUUUUAAAUUUAAGAAGAGUUCAUGUGUAUCUUACACUAGUUUAAGGAAUUUGCCUCACGCCUCACAAAUAAACUUCAUCCCUCCUUUCGGUCUCAUCCGAGGAAAUCAGGGGCAGAGCUGGAGGAGCCUGGGACAGAGCUCCUGCUCCUGCUUAGCAAGCAGGAGGCAAUCCCAGGCCCUGGGGAUUUCUGGUCAUUUUACGGUUUAGGGGAGGGAGGAGAGAAAUGCUCUUUCAUCAACUUUUAAAAAAUAAAAUAAAAUUACUACUCUUUCUGCUGGGAUACUGGUGAUCUAGGGCUGUCAGAGGAUCUGACUUUGGAAACCCCAAAGACAAAGGAGACGUAAAAAGCAGCGGCAGUCAGUCCCCUGGCAUCUGGGUCGCCGCUCUUGAAACCUCCAGCACAUGUGGUUUCAAUCACGGAGCCUGGCGCCUUCCGCCACUCAGAAGCCAGCAGCUUCGGAGAGCCCAACCGAGUUCUUUGUUUGGGAGGAGCUGGGCCCAGCCAGGGUGGCCGCCUCUGAGAGAAGUUUUAGGCUCAGGCUUCCCUUUUCUGUAAAAUUCCGGAAAUCUCAGGGCAGCCCCAGGCGACAAGCUGCAGGCAGCGUGCAGCCGGCUCCGGGGAGCUCUCAUCUCUGGGGAGAGCCUAAUCCUGAGACCUCUUGGCCAGCGCCGUCCAAAGCAAACAGCGAGCAGAUGGUCCAGGCUCGGCCUCUGGUGAAACUGUUUAUUCUUAGGAGAUGGCCAUCUCUCCUCUGGGACCCUGCCGGCUCCACCAGCCUCUUACUCCUCUUUCCUUCCGCAUCUCCCCCUUCCUCCUUCUGAAUUUGAUACUACUUUUAAGCUUUAAGAAAGGUCUGCAAGGAAAAGUCAGCCUUCCAUUGUGGAAGGUUAAUUUGGGGUCCUAGAGGAGAAAGGUGGAAUGGAAACAUAUAGGGUUCAGGAAACUGGACAUGGGAGGUUUACAUACCCAGUUUGGAAUGAGGACAAACCUUGUUUGCCUAUGUUGGCAGCCUGUCACAUCUAAAACCAAAUGCCAUUAACCAGCCCCAUAAGUAAGAUUCCAUUUAUGGUAAGUUACUAGUUAAAGUUAUACUUUCAGAAAGUUCAAAGUGGAGGGGUGCCUUGGAAGGCUGAGGUGGGCGGAUCCCACGAGCUGAGGAGUUAAAGACCAGCCUGGCCAACAUAGUAAAAUCUCAUCUCUACUAAAACUACAAAAACCAGCCAGGCGGGGUGGUGUGUGCCUGUAAUCCCAGCUACUCAGGAGGCUGAAGCAGGAGAUCGCUUGAACCUGGGAGGCGGAGAUUGCAAUGAGCCGAGAUCAUGCUACUGCAUGCCAGCCUGGGCGACAGAAUAAGACUCCAUCUCAAAAAAUAAUUAAUUAAUUUAGAAAUUAAAAUAAAAAGUAUUACUUAAAAGUAACAACUAGGUUCCACCCAUGAAAUAUUACACUGGAGAGACCACAGACUUCCAUCUGUCCUACAGCAGCCCUUAAAGUGCCAGGGAGAGAAGGGCAGGGUGGGGGAGAUGACCCCAGAACUGGCUGCCGGCAGUAUUAGGGCAACCCAGAAACCCCCUCCUCAAGAAUCUGAAAGUGAUGACGCUUAUGAAGCACAGGAUUUAACUGAGUAUGCAGGAAGACACCAGUGGUGGAAUCUAGUGUUUGGCCACAGUUUGAGACCUAUGGUAGAAAAAAUGCUCGAUAGCUACCCAGAUUGAAUGGAUGGUGUUACUGGCCGGUGUGCAGGAUUGUUGUUCCAAAAAGUUCGAAAACUCGCAGCAACUGCAGUAGGUGGUGGCUUUGUUCUCCUUCAGAUUGCUAGUCCUAGUGGCUACCUGCAGAUUGGCUGGAAGAGAGUUGAAAAAGAUUCAAACAAAGCAAAAAGACACAUUAAGAAACAGGUGAACGAAACGGCACCUGAAUUCAACAAUUUAAUUGAAGAAGCAACAGAACGUAUCAAGCAAUUUAUUGUGAUAUUCAGUGGAUUUGCGGGAGGCUUUUUGCUCGGACUUGCACCUUAAGGACAUGAAUGUUCUCCCACAGUGGAUUCAACUAUAAGAAAGGAAGUGGGAGCAAUAAGAGGUGUCUCAAGAGUACAUGCUGCCAGAGUCACUAGGGCAAGGAGAAACUAGCUGGAAAAUACUGAAUUCACAACUUAGCUUUUUGCCAUCUGAAGCUUGGCAAACUUAGUAUCUGCUAUAAAACAACCUAUAUGGUGUGUGAACAAUAGUAUUCCUGAGCAAAACAUGGCUUUCAUCACUCUGUAAAAAUUUGCAUCUGUUUAGAAAUUAGCCUAAAAAGGCCGGGCAUGGUGGCUCACGCCUGUAAUCCCAGCACUUUGGUACGCCGAGGUGGGUGGAUCAUGAGGUCAGGAGAUCGACACCAUCCUGGCUAACACAAUCAAACUCUGUCUCUAGUAAAAACACAGAAAAUUAGCCGAGCAUGGUGGCACGCACCUGUAGUCCCAGCUACUCAGGAUGCUGAGGCAGGAGAAUCGCUUGCACCCAGGAGGCAGAGGUUACAGUGAGCCAAGAUCACGCCACUGCACUUCAGCCUGGGUGACAUAGAGCGAGACUUUGUCUCAACAACAAGAAAAAAAGAAAUUAGCCUAUAAAAUAUCACCAUUGGAUGUAGCUGUGGAGAGAAAAGAAAUAUGUUGGAUUUAUUGCCUAGUGAAAUAUUAUUCUUUUUAUUUAAAUAAAACGUUAUUCAGCCGGGCGCCAUGGCUCAGGCCUGUAAUCCCAGGACUUUGGGAGGCUGAGGCAGGUGGAUCACGAGGUCAAGAGAUGGAGACCAUCCUGACCAACAUGGUGAAACCCCGUCUCUACUAAAAAUACAAAACUUAGCUGGGCAUGGUGGCGCAGCCUGUAGUCCCAGCACUUUGGUACGCCGAGGUGGGUGGAUCAUGAGGUCAGGAGAUCGACACCAUCCUGGCUAACACAAUCAAACUCUGUCUCUAGUAAAAACACAGAAAAUUAGCCGAGCUAAUUUUCUGUUUAGAUUUAGAUUUGAGAAACAGCAGGUGAAGAUUUAGAGGCUGAGGCAGGAGAAUUGCUUGAACCUGGGAGGCGGAGGUUGCAGUGAGCUGAAGUUGUACCACUGCACUCCAGCCUGGCGCCUGGUGACAGAGUAAGAGUCUGUCUCCAAAAAUAAUAAAAUAAAAUAAAAUGUUCUCAUUGUGGACAAAGAAAAAAAAAACGAAGUAUUACAUGGGAAAUGCAAACCUACAGGCAAUUAUCUUACCUUACUCAACCCGGUUCCUAGCCUGGACUCCUGGAAUAUCUGUGAGACACCUCAAUCAGGACUUUGUUCUUCACUGUUCCCUCUUGGGACAUUAUCAGUCCUUAGCUUUGAUAAUAUAUACAUAUAUACACGGUAUAUAGGCUCUGUCAAUCAGGGUCCCGUCCCCCCACCCUUUUUUUUUAACUUUUGAGAACAGCACAAACACUGCAAAGAUAUGUGACAAUUUUCUCAGGUAUUUUGUUGUUCUUGAGGUGAAUAAGGAAAAAACAAUUCACAGAAUCAAAAUCAUUAAUUUAUUUAUUGCUGCUCUUGGAUUUAUGACAGCUGGGAUCCAUGAAGCCAAGUGCUUUCCUGACAGUGACAGUGGCUGGCACACUGACCAGCUCACAUGCUAGAGCGCAAUUUUUCUUUUUUUGUUUUUUUGAGACAGAGUCUCACUCUGUUGCCCAGGCUGGAGUGCAGUGGCACAAUCUCAGCUCACUGCAACCUCUGCCUCCCAGGUUCAAGCCUCCUGAAUAACUGGGACUACAGACCUGCACCACCACGUCGGGCUACUUUUUUGUAUUUUUAGUAGAAAUGAGGUUUCACCAUGUUGGUCAGGCUGGUCUCAAACUCCUGACCUCACGUGGUGUCCCCCCACCUGCCUCAGCCUCCCAAGGUGCUGGGAUUACAAGUAUGGGCCACUGUAUCUGGCCUACAGUACAAAUUUCAGCAUAAAAUGCCCUUGCAUAAAAAACUCGAUGGCUCCUCUUUGCCUAAGCACUGAGGACAAAUUUUAAUCUCCUUAUUAUGCUACUGUGAAAGAAAAAAUUAACAAUAAUACUUGCUAAAGAUGGUGAGAAAUACACUAUUCAGGGGAGUAUAGGAGAGAAAAAAAUGUUUUCCUUCUACUCUUCUUGGUCUUUUGCUGGGGCUCUGUAACAAAAGACAGAUUAAUAAGAGAGAAGCAUACAAUUUUUUUUUUUUUGAGUCUUACUCUGUCGCCCAGGCUGGAGUGCAGUGGCAUGAUCACAGCUUACUGUAACCUCCUCUCAGGUUCCAGCAUUCUCAUGCCUCAGCCUCCCAGGUAGCUGGGAUUACAGGUGUGUGCCACCAUGCCCGGCCAAUUUUUGUAUUUUUAGUAGAGAUGGGUUUUCACCAUGUUGGCUAGGCUGGUCUCAAACUCCUGGCCUCAAGUGAUCUGCCCACCUUGGCCUGCCAAAGUGCUGGGAUUAUAGGCAUGAGCCACUGCCUACAAAUUUAUUUAAUGUAAGUUUUAUGUGACAUGAGAGCCUUCAUAUGGAAAUGAAGCCCCAUAAAAAUGGUUAGACAUGUUUUUAUUAGGUUUGAUGAAGAGUGAAAAAUCAUGGGAAAGGGGUAUGAUCUAAGGGUAAUAAGCUGGAGGAAACAGCAAGGCCUGCCCACUCAGAUUCCUCUCGGUGUUCCUGUCUUCAGAGACAAGGAUGCUCCUUCCUCUGGGCAUAGGGAGGAUGCCUCUCACAUUCAGGGGCUUAGGACCUUCUUGUGGGGGAAGGUCAGACAGUCCUUCCUGCACCUGCUGUUUCUCAAAUUUCUUCAGCUUAAAAUAUUCAAUAUGCCAAGGUGGCAUAUUUUGGGGUAGGAUGUUCUGAACCCCAUCAUGGUAGUGGCUACAACAACAAUGGGGUUUUGUAGUAUGGGCGAGACAUGGGGCUCAAAUUCAGGAAUAAUAAGGAAAAGUGGAAAUUUAUAGCCAAGGAAUACGGCAGGGGAAUCAGUGGAUGGAAAAUCACUAGCAAGUAGGGUAACUCUUCACUAAACUGACUUAACAAGGUUUCUGCUGAAAGGAAGCCAGGGUAAGAAGAUGUUGACAGUGGUCAGACGAGAGAGGGGGAUUUCACUAAACUCAUUCAGAGGGAUUCUUGAUAAAACUGAAGUAAGUGGGCCCAGACAGAGCCCCAGGUUGAGCCUAGACAGAAGGAGGACCCAGAGGAGCCUGACUACAGCCAGGUCAAGGAGUCUGUGAUUUUGCUCCAUUAACCUUUUCCAGCCUCAUUUCCAGUCACUAGAGCCUGCAGAUUCUACACCGACAUCAUUAUAAACUUCCCGUCUUUCCCUGAACAGAUCUCCAGGUCAUCCCGACAACUCUAGAAUUCCUUGGCAGGCAGUUAUAAUCUCAGAGUUCCAGGCAUGGUGGCACACCCCUGUAAUCCCAGCCUUUGGGAGGCCAAGGCGGGCAGAUAGCUUGAGGUCAGUGGUUUGAGACCACCCUGGCCAACAUGGUGAAACCCUGCCUCUACCAAAAAAUAGAAAAAUUAGCUGGGUAUGGUGGUGCAUGCCUACUUGCCAGGCUGAGGUGGGAGAAUCGCUUGAGCCUGGGAGGCAGAGGUUGCAGUGAGCUGAGAUGGCACCAUUGCUCUCCAGCCUAGGCACAGAGUGAGACCCUGUCUCAAAAAAUAUAUGAAAUAAAAUUAAAAUUAAAAAACAGGGCAAGAUGCAGUGGCUACACCUGUAAUCCUAACACUUUGGAAGGCCAAGGUGGGUGGAUCGCUUGAGGUCAGGAGUUCAAGACCAGCCUGGCCAACAUGGUGAAACUUCAUCUCUACUAAAAAUACAAAAAUAAGCUGGGCUUGGUGGCAUGCACCUGUAAUCCCAGAUACUCAGGAGGCUGAGGCAGGAGAAGAGCUUAAACCUGGGAGGUGGAGGUUGCAGUGGGCCAAGACUGCACCACUGCACUCCAGCCUGGGGGACAGAGCAAGACUCUGUCUCAAAAAUAAAGUAAAAUAAAAUGUAAAAUAAAAUGAGAGAGACAAAAAUAAAGGGAAAAGUUAUAACCUCAGAGCACAGAAAAAUAGAGAACACUGGGGAUACUGUGGUCUAGGAAAUAGCCCUCUCCAUGUGGACCUUCUGAAUAGCUUUCCAUACAUGACAGUUCCCCAUAGUAAUCAUUCCUUUUUUGGUCCUUAAUAGGGCCGCUGCCCACUCACCAGCCAUGUGCCCCAGCAUGCAACUAAAUCAGCCUGCAGGAAGAUAGGAAUCAUAUCGUUCUGCAAUUUGCU